UCAUUAUUACAGGUACCGUUGGUGACUUGUGGUUCUGUUGGUGACUUUGGGUUCAGAUGACAGUUCUCGGUUGACUUUGGGUUUCAAUUGGAUUUGGGGUUCUGAGUUUAAACCGAAGCUUCGACCUUGUGUUCAGAGAUGCACGGCCAGCCAGUUGUGUCUGCAUCAUUUGCAUCAUAGCAUGUUUAUUUUCAAAAAAAUACGCAAUGAAAAGAAAAAAAAAGAAGAAAAAAAGAGAAAAA
rnacentral:lncRNA from 1 species